CAUGGCCGCGCCCGCAGGCUCCUUGCCGCCCGCCGGGCCCGGGCCGCGCCUGGGCUUCAGCACCGCGGACAGCGGCGCGCUGGCCUCCGGGCCCAUCAAGGACCACGACGCCAUCAAGCUGUUCGUGGGCCAGAUCCCCCGGGGCCUGGACGAGCAGGACCUCAAGCCGCUCUUCGAGGAGUUCGGCCGCAUCUACGAGCUGACCGUGCUCAAGGACCGGCUCACCGGCCUGCACAAAGGCUGUGCCUUCCUCACCUACUGCGCCCGGGACUCUGCCCUCAAGGCCCAGAGCGCGCUGCACGAGCAGAAGACGCUGCCGGGGAUGAAUCGUCCGAUCCAGGUGAAGCCGGCUGCCAGUGAGGGCCGAGGAGAGGACCGGAAGCUGUUCGUGGGCAUGCUGGGUAAGCAGCAGGUGGAGGAGGAUGUGAGGCGUCUGUUCCAGCCCUUCGGCCACAUCGAGGAAUGCACCGUGCUGCGUAGCCCCGACGGCGCCAGCAAAGGUUGUGCCUUCGUGAAGUUCGGGAGCCAGGGCGAGGCUCAGGCGGCCAUCCAGGCUCUGCACGGCAGCCGCACCAUGGCGGGCGCCUCGUCCAGCCUGGUGGUCAAGCUGGCCGACACCGACCGCGAGCGGGCGCUGCGUCGGAUGCAGCAGAUGGCCGGGCAGCUGGGUGCCUUCCCCGCCACCGCCACGCUGCCGCUCGGGGCCUGCGGGGCCUACACCACGGCGAUUCUGCAGCACCAGGCGGCCUUGCUGGCGGCGGCACAGGGCCCGGGGCUCGGCCCGGUCGCGGCGGUGGCCGCACAGAUGCAGCACGUGGCGGCCUUCAGCUUGGUGGCGGCGCCGCUGCUGCCCGCAGCCGGCUCCCCCGGAGGCCCGGGCGCGCUCCCCGGCCUGCAGACGCCCCUCGGGGUCAAUGGAUUCGGCCCCCUGACCCCCCAGAGCAACGGGCAGCCAGGCUCGGACACGCUCUACAGCAACGGGCUGUCCCCUUACCCAGCCCAGACCCCCAGCGUGGCCGACCCCCUGCCGCAGGCCUUUGCAGGAACCACUCAGCACUACACAGGUUUGGGGGGGGCGCAGAGACCAUUGGGGAGCUCUGUCCGGGUGCCGGGAGUCUGUCCGAGAUGGCCUGGCAGCCAGCGGCAAUCUCUCCGCAGCCUACCCGUCGGCCUUCGCGCCCUCGCCGGUGAGCACCGCCUUCGCCCAGCAGCCCUCCGGCCUGCCCCAGCAGCAGCGAGAAGGAGUUUGGCGACGCCGAGCUCGUCCAGACCUUCCUGCCCUUUGGAGCCGUGGUCUCUGCCAAAGUCUUUGUGGACCGAGCUACCAACCAGAGCAAGUGUUUCGGGUUCGUUAGCUUUGACAACCCAGCCAGUGCCCAGACUGCCAUCCAGGCCAUGAACGGCUUCCAGAUCGGCAUGAAGAGGCUCAAGGUGCAGCUGAAGCGGCCCAAGGACGCCAGCCGGCCCUACUGAGCCCGCCCAGCUGCAGGGAGCUGCAGGUGGGGAGGAGCGGACGGAGCACAGACAUGCCGAAGCGCCUUCACAGAGCGGCCGUGCGGAUGAGGCCUCGGACCCGAGCCUGACUCCUGGGCUCGGCCCUUGAAGGAUUGUUUCCCGCCGGCGGGCCUGAGUGGCCGUGACACAGAGGAGUGGCCGUGGGCCCGGGGGGGACCAGCAGAGGGCCUGGGGUUCUGGGAGAGUCCACAGGGAAAAAGCCCCGGCUUCCUUCCUUCAAAACCAUAUCAUUCCUUAGCGUUUAGGGACCAAAGGACUAUCGCUUCUUUUUUUUUUAAAGAAUAUAUAUCUAUAUAUCUAUAUAAAUGAAAACAAAACAAAAGACAAAAAAAAAAGAAAAAAGAAAGAAAAACACACAAGAGAAACAGAACAGACUCAAGCUGCCUUCACAUCCCCCAGGAAACAGGGUGACACCUUGAACUUGAAGCCUGACGGGCCCAGGAGGCUGUAGAAAGGCCUCUCGUGUCCCCUCCUGGGCCCUGCCAUCACAGUUACUGAGAGACUCGGGCUGAGGCCCAGAGGCGGGUGGGGAGAGAAGGGGUGCGGGAGCAGCGACCCCACAAGCUCAGAGGAACCCCGAGGCCCAGGAAGGACUGCAGGCUGCCCCAGCCGUCGCCACCCUGGAAGCCCCUGGCCAGCAGGAGGCCCAUCUUUGCCCUGCCAGCCUUAUCCCUGGGCCCUGAGGCUCCCAGGGAGCCAUCCAGCCCCUCCAGACACCCCUGUCCCCCUGCCCACAAACCCGCCCCUGUGUCCCCCAUCCGCUCGUCCAAGUCUGCCCAGCCGUGACGGCGUUGUGGGGUGCCCGCACAGGACUGUGCCCACAGACCCGGGGGCCACUCCUGUACAUACUGCCAUUGAAACGGGGGUCCCCCUCAGCCGUAGAAGCUCAGUUAGAGCGCCCACCCCCCGGAGCCGGGAGGGCAGUCAGUGUUUUGCCAAAAGCUGUCUUGAUCACCCCUGUCCUAUGCAAGCGUGUGUUCCCGGGCGGGGAGCGUGCCCGAGCCCCAGUGCGUGUGUCAUGUGUCCGUCCUUGUCCGUCCCUGUGUCCAGUGAGUGCCGUAUAAAACUGAUCCGUGGUGGUG